UGACACCGGCAAAAAUCAGAA
ensembl:piRNA 21ur-118 ncRNA